CGUGUAAUAUCCAACAUUUUCAUUAUACAUUUUUUUUAUUAUAAAUCAGAGUUUUAAUACAUAAAAUAUACAAGUUUACAAAUUUAAGAAAUAGUAAUGGAAAAAUAGUAUUUAAAAUAUCAUUUUAUGUUUUUAAUGAGAUUAAAGAGAGAGAAACUUGAAUAGUCAAGUAUUGGACCCGAAUGUCAUAUAAUUUUAAUUGGGGAUUUUUAUAAAAUUAAGAAAGUUUUGCUAAAUGGCUUAUUUGAAAAGAAUUUUAGUAUUUUGGGUCCAAGUGUAAUUUUUAAAAAUAAUAAAAAAUAAAAAAUAAAAAAAAAAAAGAAAAGAAAAGGCUUCAGCCUUUCUUUUUACCCGAACCCUCUCUCUCUCUCCUCAGAAAACCUCUCUCUCUCUCUCUCUCUCUCUCUCUCUCUCUCUCUCUCUCUCCUCUGCGUAUUACUGUUGCCGACGACGCAGGAGUACUUUCCGGCCACCAUUUUUAGCCACGCGCCGGACCGUUGGAUUCAGAGGCCUCCGAACUAUCGACCCACGCGGGAAUCUAGAGCUCACUCGCCGAUUAAACGCCUCAACCACUCGAUUUAAGUUCGGCCACCCCGCGACUUCAAAGUUGCGAUUCGGCCACCUCGGGCAUCCGUUUGUCGAUCCGUCACCACCAUCGUGCUCCUCGUGUUGUGGGCUUCAAAACCCAAUAACUUGUUCCUACAUCUACCAUAGUUGGGUGGUGGGCCCACCACGAGCCACCGCGAUCCACCGUAGACCGACGGUCGAAACUUAGUGUUCGAGGUUCCGAAGUACGUUUUGAGUCUCAGAAAAUCAUCGUUUGACUUGUUGUGGAACCCGAUCAUUUUGGUAUAAUUUCUUUAACCUAUAUAUUGUGAUUUAAUUGUGAUUGAUUAGAGUAAUUGUUAUUAUGUGUAUUUAUAGUAUAUAAUUAUAUAUUAUUGAUAUAUGGAAUAUUUUCUGUAAAUUACUGGCUGUCUGGGAUUAUAUAUAUUUUUGAUACAGGUUUUGAUUUUGGAAUUGUCCACUUUAUAGCCGUUGUGCUGUCCAAUUUUCUAGAAAAUAUUAGAUAUUAAAUAAAGUAUAAAAAUACAUAUUUAAUUGAUUUUUCCAUUAAUAUGGAAAUUAUUAUGAUUAAUUAAUUUUAAUUAUUAUUGUUAUUGUUUUGUUAAGUAAAUCAAGAAUACAGUUUUAUGUAUAUAUAUAUCUAUGAAAAGUGUGAUUUAUAGUAAACGUAUUAUUUAACAAUUAUUCUUAUAUGUUAAUAUUUUGUUAAUAUUUGAAUAUUAAAAUAAUAUCAAAUAUUAGUUUCUUACAGUUAUUGAUAUUUGUAAGACCAGUGAAUUUUGGAGAAAGUAUAUUUAUUAUAUCACUGGAAUUGAUAUUAUGACUAUUUAAUAAUAAUAGAAAUAUUUAUAUUUAUAUUAUUAUCAUUAUAUUGAUUAUUACAACUUUAUGUUAAAAAUAUGAUUUCUUUUAUAAAAUGAUUAUUUGAAUAUAUACAUUCAUAUACGUAUUGCUAUUAAAGUAUUUUGUUAUUAAUAUCGAAAUAAGUUUAAUUAUAGACGAUAAUUAUUAUUUUGUUGGGAUUAUUAUUAUUAUUAUCAUAAGAGUACAUUAUCUUAUGAGCAAGGUUUAAAGCAUUGUUUUAUAUGAAGAGUUAUUUGCAUUACGUUGAUAAUAAUUUAUUAUUAUCAUUUAUAUAGUUUCUGGUAUUAUUAAUAUACACUAUCAAUAGUGUAUAUUUAUGAUUUUGAUAGAAUUUAAUAAAUGAUGUGCAUUGAAUAGGAUUUGUAUGGAUUUGAUUGAUUGACUCUUGGUGAGGAAUUUUAAAAUAAGCUAAGGACCUAAGGUGUGGCUUUAGCUGUUGAGCAACUUGUGGAGCACGGACUCAGUAGCAAUGCAAUAAUGGUUUAGAGUUUUCAUAUGGCUGCCUUAAAUUUAAAGUAUUCAUACGUGUAAUAAUUUCUUCUAAUAAGUUUAUAUAAAAGUUUAAAUUUUUCUGCA